ensembl:lncRNA
CGCGCGCGCGCGCGCGCGGGUUCUCACGCACGGUCUGCUACCCUCCUCGCCUCUCCCGCCCCUCCCACUCGGCGAGAGCUGUGGAGCCGCAGCAGCCAGCCCGCCCCGCGCCUAGCUCCCCAGCCCGGCGGGCGAUCCGCUUCCUUCAGACUGCUUCUCGCCCGGGCGCCCCCUACGAAGUUCUCCCUCCCUCACCACCCCCUGCGAGGACCUCAGGGGGCGGUCCCGGUAUGCCCGGCGCUGAUUGGCUACUCGUAAAGAGCCCCGCCCUCUGGGCACGCGCAGGAGGUGGGGCGGGCUCGAGAAGGCCGCGCGGUGCGCGGCCCCGCGGGCUUAGCCUUCGUGACCCGCGUGCUGGCUCUGGCGUCCGGGCUCCCGGGCGUCCGCGAGAAUCCCAUUAUGUAGUUCAGGCUGACCUUGAACUCACUAUGUAACCCAGACUGUCCUCUAACCCUAGAGGAUCCUCCUGCCUCAGCCUCCCAAGUACUGGGAUUACAGGGAUGGAACUCGGGUCCUUGUGCUUGCGCAGCAGGCGGCGAAACCACUGAGCUAAAUCCCCGGCCCUGUUUAACUCUUUUGACUAAAGAUAAGUGUUAGGAUUUGAUAUUCUGGGAGGGGAAGGGGUGAAAGGAUUGUAUCCACCCAUCUUUCCCUCCCACCUGCACCUGAAGCUAGCUCUUGCACUCUAUUCUUGGUCAAAAAUGGGAGAUGAAACACUGUCCAGCAUACCCACAGCAGUAUAGAAGAAAGAACAGCAGCUGCCAAACCUGCUUCACCAAGUCACACUGCCACUAGUGGUGACCAGGACCAAGGUUUUAACACUUGAGGAGCCUUGAAUGGCAGGGCUAAAUACAACCACCUUGCCUUGUGUUAGCUAGUGGGUGUGUUUUAACAAGUUCCAUAAGUAAGCUUUUACCAUUUGAUACUUCUCAAAUUCAAAUGCAGAUACCUCUUGACUUAUGGAGUUAUGUCACCAUAACCCCAUGGUAAGAUAAAAAUAUUAAGUUAAAAUUGCAUUCAAUACUCCUAAUCUAGGGCCAGGAUUUAGCUCAGUGGUUCGGCCACCUGCCUUGUAAGCGUAAGGACCUGAGUUCAAUCCCCGGUACCAAAAAAAAAAAAAUACACCUAAUCUAUCAAACAUUGUAACUUGGCCUAACUUUUCUUAAACAUACUCAGAGAACUUACAUCAGUUUACAGUUGGGCAAAAUUAUCUAACACAAACCUAUUUUACAAUAAAAUGUUGAAUAUCUCAUGCAAUUUAUUGAAUAUUGUACUGAAACUGAAAAACAUGGUAGUGUGGGUAGCUUUCACAUGAUCAAAUUGAAAGCUGUAAGUCAGAUCAUCAUAAGUUGGUGACUAUAUGAAAACAUCUUGAAAAUAUAUAAAAAUACUUACAAUAGCAUGCAUGUUUUACUUAUCUCUAUUCUAGUAUUUCUUGGUGCUCAACAGAUGGUCACUUUUCCUUGGCUCUAGCUGGAGUGGUUGCUUGUCUGUCACCCCACAGGCUAGGGUUGGGGAUGGCUUUCACUGCUGCUGGGCUGGGGCUGUUGCACCUUGUUUUUUUUUUUUUGGUACCAGGGAUUGAACUCGGGACCUUGUGCUUGCGAGUCAGGCGGCAAAACCACUGAGCUAAAAGUUGCACCUUGUUGAUUUCCUUAACUCUGCUCACUUCCUUCAAAGUCCAUUUAUACUUCCUAAAUGAACAUGCCUUUCCUUCCCACCUUAGAUGGUACCUGAACAGAUAUGCAUCAAGGUCUAGCCCCUCCAAUUUAAUCUGCAUGCUUUUCCUUCCGCACUCUAGUCUCUGAUACAAAUGAACCCCCUAGAAUCCACCCCCCAACUCUGAACCUUGCAUAUGCUGUUCUAACAAGACUAUUCCAUGAAGACUUCCUAGAUUUCCUUGCAUGUAGGUGUUGUUACUGAGUUUUCCACAUUGUAUCAAUUUUAUUCAUUUAUUUAUUUAUUUUUUGGGGGGUUACUGAGGAUCGAACUCAGAACCUUGCGCUUGUGAGGCAGGUGCCAGAACCACUGAGGUAAAUCCCCGGCCCUAUUUCGGUAUUUUGAAACAAGGUCUCACUAUGUAAUUCAGGGUGGCCUUAAACUUGGGAUAAUCCUCCUGCCUCAGCUUCCUAAGUGUUGAGAUUACAGGCAUGUACCACCUUGCCCAGUUGAUUUUAUUAUUUUUAUACUUUUUUCUUCUUUUGCCACAUUGUACUUGCCGCUUUGCCUUUUCAAAGCUGAAAUUCCUUGAGGCUGAACAUUGUGUCUUAAUGGUAAGUAGAUCUUUGGUGCUUAGUAUAAUAUCUCAUGCAUGGUAGAACAUCAUGAAGGAAUAACUGAAUGGAAACUGAAAAUCAAUUUUUUUCCUCCAUUGGUUCUUCUUCUAGGUUUUCUAUACUUGUAGUUUUUCUCUAAAUUUAAUCAGUUCAAAUUGAAAUUUCCUUUAUUUCAAGUAGUUAAAAUUAUAUUCUUUAUUUUUAUUUAUUUAUUUAUUUUUUGGUUCUGGGAAUCGAACUCGGGUCUUUGCGCUUCCGAGGCAGGUGGCAGAACCACUGAGCUAAAUCCCUGGCCCAAAAUUAUAUUCUUUAAUUAGUAUUUGUAUGAUAGCAUGCUUUUACCACACUGAAUACAGCAGGUAUGCUCUGGAAUGUUCAAUAAAUUUUAUAAUUGAAACAUUUAAGAUUUUAAUACAACUUCAUUUCUUAUUUAAAAUUUUAAUACAAUUUCAUUUCUUUAUUAGUAACAAAGCUUUUUUCUUUUUUGUAUAGCAAACAGUCAUUCUCCAAGUUAUUUGUUUUGGAAAUAUUACUUCUUCCUGUAUCAGAUUUACCUUAAGGUAAUUCCAGUUCUCAUGGGCUUCCUCAAGAUGUGGAUGGCAUAAAGGACACAGAUACCAAGAAGAGCUCACCAUCAUGGCUUUCCUCACGAUAGGCUGCCCUGCUUUCUCCAGGUGUCCUUUUAUUGAUUUUUUCCUUUUACUCAGGCCAACCUCCCUCUGCCAAGCCAGUUUCUCCCCUACUCUUCACUUUUACUUUCUAGAAUAAAGUUUGUCACUGUUUUUUGCUCAUUUUGUUCAAUUCUUUGCUCCAGAUGAGAAGAACCUGGAAUCUAACUCCAGAAGGAGAGAUGAGCAACCCAGAACCUGCUAAUGCUUAAUUGGUGAGCCACCUUUGGAAGCAGGCUACCCAGAAACAGAAGGAGGAUCACCUUGAGUUCGAGGCCAGCCUGGGCUACAUAGUGAGUUCGAGGCCAGCCUGGACUACAUACAUAGCAAGACCCUGUCUCAAAAAGACCAAAUAAAUAAUAAAUGAAUAAAUAAAUGUCUGAAUUGGAAUUCAAAAAGAAAAGAAGAAAAGUAAUUCCGUGUUGUCCCCUAAGACAUUAUAAGAUUUAACUGAAAAGAAUCAGUUGACUGUCUUUUUCUUUUUUUCUAUGAAUAGAACAGUAAGGACAAAGAUGAACAGUAGUAUUUUUCUUCUGUGCAGUUCCCUUCCAUGUUUUGGGCAGUAGAGAAAGGGAGAGGCAAAUUUCUCCCCAGUCCCUCGUUUCUCUCCCUCUAGCAGGGUGUUUUCUGUAAUUGGCUUUCCACAUUUGCCAAGAGUCUGUUUCCUCUUAACAUCCAACAUGCUUAACAGAAGCCUUGUAAUAGUUCCAAAAAUGAUAAAACCAGACCCAAGAAUAAAAUGAUACACA